UGCCAUGGCAUUUAUGAUGGAAAAUGAAUUAGAAGCUAAAACUCCAGGAAGCUUCUCGAAUUUUUGAGUGAAACCUAAUAUUAAUCAAAGAUAAGCUUCUGAGGUACCAAUGAUAAGACGACAUGUGGUUUUUAGUGUUGUUAGAGCCAUAUCGGUUUAAAAGUUAGGUGAGAUUUGCGUCUGAAUUACAGGAUGAGUAUGUGGUAAAAACCAUUGCUUGGAAGCUUGUGACCACUUUAUUAUACAGGACCUACAAGAUCUUGAUCAUAUAGCUAUGAGAGAUGCAUUCAUUCCAACCGUAGCUAUGUGACACGCUGAAUGUUUCUACUAGAAGCAACUUGAUGCUGAUUUUCUCUUUGAAUUGCCUGUAUGGAUUGUGCGUGCAUGAAAAAAUUUCUGACUCUUGUCCUCAUGAUUUCUUCUUCCAACCAGUAAUAAGACCUAUUUGCUUUUCUUAUGUAAGAAAAAACUUGCUUUGGACAACCUUGAAGUUCCAGUUGGUGAGAAACUGAUUGUCAAGUAACUAGGUGCAUUUCAAAUAUGUUACUAUAUUUUCUAACUAAGAUGAUUAGUGUUUUAGUCUAAAUUAGUGAAUGGUUUCAUAGUGUACCUUAUUUAUUCAUAAUGCACUUUGAUUGAACAGCCAUGUGAUUGUUGAGGAUGGAGAGCGUUAUUGUGGCAAGAAGAAAUCGGACAAAUGAGCCACAAAUUUAUGUUUAUCAUUGCUUCUCCACCCCCUUCUAUAAAUUUUGGUCAAAGUGUGUUGUUAGUGUUCUGAAUUAAUACCCUCGAACUAUCCACUCGUAAUUUAUUGAUGAUCUUUUUAUGUUUCUCCCUUAAUUAUUUCUUAAAGAUCAUACAAUAAUAUAUCUGAACAAAUCUGUUCAUAGUAGAAUUUUCCAUGCAUUUUUCGGCUGUAAAGGGUUUUGUUCCCAUUAUUCUUUCGUAAGAUAUGAUUAAGGCUAUCGAUAGCAAUGUUUUUGCUUUGUUAUGCACAAUGUGUUGUGCUUUUCAUUUACUAUUGUGCUAUGUCUGGAACCAAAUUAUGGUCUUUUAUCUGCUUUUGUGAAGUUCCUAACAUUGUUUUCUUUCGUUGUGAGUUAGCUAGACUUUGAUAAUCUUACUUGGUAUAAAAAUGCAUUGUAAGCAUUGUAUUGCCUUUUAAGAUGUAAGAACCUACUCCUUGGGUAGAUUUCUUCAUACAAAAUGGUUUCUAGAAGAGAUAUCAUCUCUUAUCUAAUAGUCUAUUGUUGUAAUUAUUUAUAGUUAUGUGGUGACAAUACACUACUAUAAAUGACUUCAAGGACCGUAAUGAAUAGUUGAUGCGAAAAGUAUUUGGCCCUUUUAGUUGUGGAGCAUAAUAAAGGAACAAAGGCACCUUUCUACAUGGUAUAUAUAAAAAUAUUGUUAGAAAAUGUGGAGGUGGCUAAUGCAAUAAGAAGCCUCUUUUUCCAUGUGAUAUUCUCAACAACUUCAAGCAAGCAAAACUUGUUGAGUUCAUGCAGUAUAUGCCUUGAUCAAUCUUAUUUAUAUUCUAACUUGAAGGAGCAAACAUUCCUAAAUGUAUGUUUAAGAAAAGCUGUCUUUCUGGCGAAGCUCCUAAAUUUGACAUGAUAUGCUUGGUUUGUUUUUCUUGCGCUUUCAAAGGCAACAAGACAUGCAGAGAUGGAAGCUCUUGAUGUCCUUCAAGAACAGUGGCAGAGGACUGGAUUUUCAGCUGCGGAUGUUGCAGGGCCUUUAAUGCGACAUGUGAAUGCAUACUGUGUGCAGCAGCAUUAUCAAUCACUGGUGUGAAGUAUAUUAUGGCUGUACAAAUGAUAAAUUUGGAGGCUGUGGCUCAAUGCUGGCGUUGCGUUCAAAUAGCUCUGAGGCAUGCAUUUCGGAACUUGCUUUUGUUGUUGAUUUCGUAUCUACCUAGCUCCACUUUGUAAUCGUGACAUAUGAUAAUUGACAGCUAAAGCUUACUGGAGGUUUAUGAUUCCUUAUGUUUAUUACUGAUGGAUGUGAUUUCAUAGUGAUUCUGUUUGUUGUCACUAAUUGACUAUUGCACCAAAUAACCAUGAAAUUUAAUGGAGGUUUAUGGAACGUUUGUUCUA